rnacentral:rRNA from 1 species
AGAGUUUGAUCAUGGCUCAGAUUGAACGCUGGCGGCAUGCCUUACACAUGCAAGUCGAACGGUAACAGGUCUUCGGAUGCUGACGAGUGGCGAACGGGUGAGUAAUACAUCGGAACGUGCCCGAUCGUGGGGGAUAACGAAGCGAAAGCUUUGCUAAUACCGCAUAAGAUCUACGGAUGAAAGCAGGGGACCGCAAGGCCUUGCGCGAACGGAGCGGCCGAUGGCAGAUUAGGUAGUUGGUGGGAUAAAAGCUUACCAAGCCGACGAUCUGUAGCUGGUCUGAGAGGACGACCAGCCACACUGGGACUGAGACACGGCCCAGACUCCUACGGGAGGCAGCAGUGGGGAAUUUUGGACAAUGGGCGAAAGCCUGAUCCAGCCAUGCCGCGUGCAGGAUGAAGGCCUUCGGGUUGUAAACUGCUUUUGUACGGAACGAAAAGACUCUGGUUAAUACCUGGGGUCCAUGACGGUACCGUAAGAAUAAGCACCGGCUAACUACGUGCCAGCAGCCGCGGUAAUAC